rnacentral:rRNA from 1 species
AUACGUAGGUGACAAGCGUUAUCCGGAUUUACUGGGCGUAAAGGGCGUGUAGGCGGUCUUGCAAGUCAGAAGUGAAAUUCCUGAGCUCAACUCGGGCGCUGCUUCUGAAACUGCAGGACUUGAGUGCUGGAGGGGAUAGCGGAAUUCCUAGUGGAGCGGUAAAAUGCGCAGAUAUUAGGAAGAACACCGGUGGCGAAGGCGGAUAUCUGGACAGUAACUGACGCUGAGGCGCGAAAGCGUGGGGAGCAAACAGGAUUAGAUACCCUGGUAGUCCACACUGUAAACGAUGAAUGCUAGGUGUAAGAGGUAUCGACCCCUUUUGUGCCGGAGUUAACACAAUAAGCAUUCCGCCUGGGGAGUACGGCCGCAAGGUUGAAACUCAAAUGAAUUGACGGGG